UACGUAGGUGGCAAGCGUUGUCCGGAUUUACUGGGCGUAAAGGGCGCGUAGGCGGUCAGCACAAGUCAGUUGUGAAAUCUCCGGGCUUAACUCGGAAAGGUCAACUGAUACUGUGCGACUAGAGUGCAGAAGGGGCAACUGGAAUUCUCGGUGUAGCGGUGAAAUGCGUAGAUAUCGAGAGGAACACCUGCGGCGAAGGCGGGUUGCUGGGCCGACACUGACGCUGAUGCGCGAAAGCCAGGGGAGCGAACGGG
rnacentral:rRNA from 1 species